UGUUUUGUUUGUUCCAAUAACAACAAAAAUCAAGGAAGAUGCUUUUCAUUUAUUAGGUUCUUUCUAUUUGCAAUUUUUGUUUCAUGUUUAUGUUUAUUCCAAUGACAAGAACAAGUGCUUUUCACUUAGGUUGCUGCAGUUUGCAAUUUCUGUUUGAUAUUUAUGUUUAUUCCGAUUACAAGAACAAGUUACGUGUGUUGAUCGUGCUUCACAAACCAUGCCUGUCAUUAUAUUCGGCAUAAAAAGUUCCUUUCACCAUUUCAUGUCUUCCAUGUGGUACACUAGAAAGCUUACAGAUACAAUUAAGCAGCUAAUAUGCAUUGGUUCGAUCUUCUCUGCUACGUAAAUAUCUGUUUCAUAAAUCUUUAACAGUUAUUUGUAGUAUCGUAUUACCUUUUAUAUUGAUUAAUUCCUGUGCUGAAUUGAAAUAUUUUGUGGAUCUGUUAUAUAGUUAUAAAUAGUUUACUCUUUUUGGACUUGAGCUUUGAUUAAUCUAUUACAUACACUAAGAAGUAAAACUAGCAAACCAUCUUUAUUAGGAGAUUCCACCUACAUAAAUAUUUUUUUUUUAAAAGAACUACAUUAAUUGUUGAAAGUUCAGUGUUGCUGCUUCUAAUAUGCGUCCUUUCUUUCAUUCGCUGAAGCAUGGUGGUGGCAACUGCUUCUGUUGUGAGAAUCAAACGGACGGAUCAAGGUAUUGACUUCUUUUUCUGUAGUUAAAGUCAUGCUCAAAAGUAGUUUGUGCAUUGUAUAAAGGAACUAGUUCUUGGCAACUUGUUUCUCAUGAUACAUUUGUCCAUCAAUUAUGAGAUUGCUGAAUUUGCUGAUUGCAAUUAUACGACAUUUUGAGGUGUUAUUAUAGGCUACGGAAUUUGUUACACCUUGAGCUUGAAAACUAUUUUGUCUCAAAGCCAUUCGCAAUCUCAUUCUUAAGUAUAUAAUCGUGUCUCAAAGCCUUAGGGAUGUAGCAAAACUGGUUUAUAUAACUCUUGCACUCAAAUAUGGCUAGUUUUACUUCUUUUCACUUAGAAUUAGUAGCUAGAGUGGCCAAACUGUAUUAAUCUGUGAUAUUAAUUUACAGCUUCACCAUGCUGCUGUGAAAGUCUGUUAUGCAGGAAACUCUUCCCUAGGCAGCUUGGCACCAAUGUGAUCAUAUAUCUCUAUUUUUGUUUCACAACUUGCAAAGGCUGCAUUAGGUGAUGAUUUACCGUGGAAUCUGCAAACUCUUCGAAAAAUCUAAUACUGGUUUUUUACCUUAAUUAUGCAGUUAACAGUUCAGCAACUAAUGUGCAUUGGUUUGAUUUUCUUGUAUGUAAUGUAAGUCUCAGUUUUAUUAUAAAUCUAAAACAGUUCAUACAGUGUUACAUUUUUUUUUUUCUUUCUGAAUUCAUCUGCAAGUUGGAUUCAUUUAGUGUUGGCAAAGCUAUGGGAAGUCAUGAACCCUCUAAAGUUAUCAUAUUCUCUUGGCAAAUAUUACUCUGCCACUACCAACAAAAGAAAAUUUUACUAAGCGAGGAGUUUUUGAGGGAGGGGAUGAGUCGAUGUGUGAGUGAUGUCCAAGAGAAAGGGAAUCAAAAGACCGCUUGUUUAUCAAAUAUUAUUUCACGAGUGCCAUUUGGUAUGAGAGUUUUUGAUAAUAAUAGUUUUUGAAAUAAGACUUUUCCUUGAACAAGAGUUUAGAGACUACUUGUGUAUCUCUAUAGGUUAGAGACUAAAUUUAUGAGAGAAUGAUAGUUUAGUGAUUGAUUGUUUAUUCUAAAGUUUUGUUUGUCGGUUUCAUGUACUUUUGUAAUUUUGUGUCACAAUAUGUUCUUGUGCAUGUAGAUCGCUG
rnacentral:lncRNA from 1 species